UACGAAGGGGCGUAGCGUUGCUCGGAAUGAGCUAGGGCGUAAGGCGCGUAGGCGGACGGCUUUGUCGGGCGAUGAAAUUCCGAGGGCUUAACCCUUGGGGGCUGCCGUUCGAGACGGGUUGUCUAGAGUUGGAAGAGGGUCGUGGAAUUCCCAGUGUAGAGGUGAAAUUCGUAGAUAUUGGGAAGAACACCGGUGGCGAAGGCGGCGACCUGGUCCUUGACUGACGCUGAGGCGCGAAAGCGUGGGGAGCAAACAGG
rnacentral:rRNA from 1 species